CGUGAGGUCACUGAGGUGUGUGAGGUCAUUGUGAGUUGUGUGAGGUCAUCGUGAGCUCCUCGUGAGGACACAGAGCUGUGUGAGGUCAUCGUGAGGACACGGAGCUGUGUGAGGUCAUCGUGAGGACACGGAGCUGUGUGAGGUCAUCGUGAGGACACGGAGCUGUGUGAGGUCAUCGUGAGGACACGGAGUUGUGGGAGGUCAUCGUGAGGACACGGAGUUGUGUGAGGUCAUAUACAGACUGUUUAUGACUCAGUGCCAAUUGUGAUGACUGAUGACUAUACAGUCACAUCAAUCAGCUGCAUGAAGACGGCAGAGAACUGCUAUACAGGACCGAGAUGGUAUUAUUAACAAUAAACAACAUUAAAGUCUCGUCUUGGGAGCCUGUGCCUAUCUCAGGCGUCAUCAGAGAUGCCAAAUCAGAGAUGCCAAUUUUCCAGAGAUGCCAAUCAACCUACCAUGCAUGUCUUUGGACCUGGGGAGGAAACCGGAGCACUCGGAGGAAACCCACGAGGCACGGGGAGAACAUGCAAACUCCACACACACAAGGCAG